GACUGGGGGAAGCCACGAGGGAGACGGGCUGGAGAAAGUUCCACCGAUCCGCCUUCCUCCUCUCCUCCUCCUCCUGCGGCCGCGGAGCCGCUGCUUUUCCCCGUGCCCGAGGAUCCCAGCCCGCAGCAUCCUCACAGGGAAGGGGGAAAAGCGACGGAGCUCCCCCCAAAAAUGAGGGAAAAGGGCGAUUUCUCGGCACCGAGCUGCUCGCCGGGGGUGGCCGAGAUCGCCUGGCCCCCCGCUCCCCAAGGUCACGAAUGCAAAUGUAGCCUGCCGGCGGUGAAUGGGCUGAAUUGUGAUUAAGAAGAAGAAGAGCUCCUUUCUUUGUUCUCCCCUCAGGGGAUGUUUACUGGGAGAGACACAGCGGAUCAGAUAUGAAAGGCAUUCAGAUCCGUCUUUUCCCCGGCACCAAACGUAUUUUCUUACAGCAACCAGAAAUUCCCCCAAAAGUUUCCUGGUGAAGCGUGUGCACACAACUCAGCAAGCACGGAAUGGUCGUGAAUGGCAAAAACCAGACAGUCGUCUCCAAAUCCACCGCUUUCCUCCAAAUUCACCAUCAAACAAACAGCUGAGCCCUGGCACGGCACACAGCCCUGCCACAGCUCGCUCCCAUGGAUCCGCACAGAGGAACCCAACCGACACCCCUCACUCCCCAGUCGCUCUCAUGGACCUCAUCCAUUUGUAAUACCUAUUUCCAGGUGCUUUCCUCGAGGUCGCACGUUUUUCUCCCACCCGAGCAGCCGCUCUGGUAGCAAUCUGCUCGCAACGGAUUCGCAGCGCUGCAGAGGAACCCGGGUACAGGAGUGCUCCCAGAUGCCCACCCCAGCGUGUGCCACCUGCAUGUCACCCAUCACAACCCCCUGCUCACCCCACAACCCUAUCGGGUGCCCUCAAACUUCCCCAUGCAGGGCAGAGCCUCACUUUCCACCACAAACAAGCUGCUUUCUGCUCUCGUUCGAGUAGGAAGCGAAGGUUUUCCCCCCUUUCCCAGCAGAGAGGAAGGGUGGGUGGGAGCCUUUUUGGUGAGGGCUCUGAGCGAGUGUAAUCGUGUUUGGGCUGCGCUUCCCCUCGGAUCAGGCGCCCUGAAAGAAUUGAACUUUCUCUCUUUUCUUUACAACUGGAAGCGAGAUGGCAAUGGAAUCAAAGGGAGCUGUUUGCUGAAAGUUUGGAGGAAAUCAGGGCCAACUUUUUCCUUUCCCCCACCCCCAUUUUCCUCGG